rnacentral:rRNA from 1 species
AUUGAACGCUGGCGGCAGGCUUAACACAUGCAAGUCGAGCGGAGAUGAGGUGCUUGCACCUUAUCUUAGCGGCGGACGGGUGAGUAAUGCUUAGGAAUCUGCCAUUUAGUGGGGGACAACAUUCCGAAAGGAAUGCUAAUACCGCAUACGUCCUACGGGAGAAAGCAGGGGAUCUUCGGACCUUGCGCUAAAUGAUGAGCCUAAGUCGGAUUAGCUAGUUGGUGGGGUAAAGGCCUACCAAGGCGAAGAUCUGUAGCGGGUCUGAGAGGAUGAUCCGCCACGCUGGGACUGAGACACGGCCCAGACUCCUACGGCAGGCAGCAGUGGGGAAUAUUGGACAAUGGGCGGAAGCUUGACCUAGCCAUGCGGCGUGUGUGAAGAAGGCCUUUUGGUUGUAAAGCACUUUAAGCGAGGAGGAGGCUACUAGUACUAAUACUACUGGAUAGUGGACGUUACUCGCAGAAUAAGCACCAGCUAACUCUGUGCCAGCCGCCGCCGUAACAC